GUGUUUACCUGGCAGGCGAGGUCCAUGAUCACGAAGGUGGCUUUCCCAGGGCGAGGUUCAUCCAUUGUUCUCCGGAUGUGCUCAGUGAGCCCUGCAAUUUCCCCAAAUGUGGGAAACUCGACUGCAUAAUUUGAGGUAGUGGGGGACUGGGUUCAUGCUUUCCCCUG
ensembl:snRNA U1 U1 spliceosomal RNA